rnacentral:tRNA from 1 species
UAUAAAUUAGUGUAUAUGCACAAUAGAUUUUGAUUCUUUUAGUUUUAGUUUUAUUCUAAAAUUUAUAA